AGAGCGAACGCUGGCGGCAGGCUUAACACAUGCAAGUCGAGCGCCCCGCAAGGGGAGCGGCAGACGGGUGAGUAACGCGUGGGAACGUACCUUUUGGUUCGGAACAACACAGGGAAACUUGUGCUAAUACCGGAUAAGCCCUUACGGGGAAAGAUUUAUCGCCGAAAGAUCGGCCCGCGUCUGAUUAGCUAGUUGGUGAGGUAACGGCUCACCAAGGCGACGAUCAGUAGCUGGUCUGAGAGGAUGAUCAGCCACAUUGGGACUGAGACACGGCCCAAACUCCUACGGGAGGCAGCAGUGGGGAAUAUUGGACAAUGGGCGCAAGCCUGAUCCAGCCAUGUCGCGUGAGUGAUGAAGGCCCUAGGGUUGUAAAGCUCUUUUAACGGGGAAGAUAAUGACGGUACCGUAGAAUAAGCCCCGGCUAACUUCGUGCCAGCAGCCGC
rnacentral:rRNA from 1 species